UGCAGUCGAGCGGUAAGGCCCUUCGGGGUACACGAGCGGCGAACGGGUGAGUAACACGUGGGUAACCUGCCCUGUACUCUGGGAUAAGCCUUGGAAACGAGGUCUAAUACCGGAUAUGACACCGAUCUGCAUGGUUUGGUGUGGAAAGUUCCGGCGGUACAGGAUGGACCCGCGGCCUAUCAGCUUGUUGGUGGGGUAAUGGCCUACCAAGGCGACGACGGGUAGCCGGCCUGAGAGGGUGAUCGGCCACACUGGGACUGAGACACGGCCCAGACUCCUACGGGAGGCAGCAGUGGGGAAUAUUGCACAAUGGGCGAAAGCCUGAUGCAGCGACGCCGCGUGAGGGAUGACGGCCUUCGGGUUGUAAACCUCUUUCAGCAGGGACGAAGCGCAAGUGACGGUACCUGCAGAAGAAGCACCGGCUAACUACGUGCCAGCAGCCGCGGUAAUACGUAGGGUGCGAGCGUUGUCCGGAAUUAUUGGGCGUAAAGAGCUCGUAGGCGGUUUGUCGCGUCGGCCGUGAAAACUUGGGGCUUAACUCCAAGCUUGCGGUCGAUACGGGCAGACUUGAGUUCGGCAGGGGAGACUGGAAUUCCUGGUGUAGCGGUGAAAUGCGCAGAUAUCAGGAGGAACACCGGUGGCGAAGGCGGGUCUCUGGGCCGAUACUGACGCUGAGGAGCGAAAGCGUGGGGAGCGAACAGGAUUAGAUACCCUGGUAGUCCACGCCGUAAACGGUGGGUGCUAGGUGUGGGGGGCUUCCACGCCCUCUGUGCCGCAGCUAACGCAUUAAGCACCCCGCCUGGGGAGUAC
rnacentral:rRNA from 1 species